CUUUUCCUAAAAAAGAUACUUCUCAGAGAGCAGAUUAGAAAAGGAGGACCAUCAUCUCCUACAAUCUUUAAAGGUCUAAAAAGUUAGAGGAGCAAUGUGAAUCAAAUAGAGGCAGGACAAUUGGACUGCUUAAAAGUAAGGUAGAAUUUAAAGUUAAUCAUCCGACUGCUAGCAGUGUUAAUCCAAAUCUUUUUGCAUGAGCAUAUGUUAGUCCUCUUUGGAUGGGCUUUGUUGAUACUGAUUUCACAUAGGCUUCAAACGAGGCAAGAUGAGGUAGUCCUUGGGCAAGGCUGUUGAAUAUCAUAUCUCCAUGAUAGUAUUUUGAUGAUAACAAUUUAUACAAUGUGUGUUAUACAAAUACACUAACUCUUAUAUGCAGCUUUCAAUAUCAAAAUAUGAACAAGUGCAAGUUGAGAUGCAAGGCAUUAUGAAGUGAAGAAG